GGGACCCCUGUCUCCCACACUGUCAACUCAUACUUACCUGGCAGGGGCGAUACCAUGAUCACGAAGGUGGUUCACCCAGGGCGAGGCUCAGCCAUUGCACUGCGGUUGUGCUGACCCCUGUGAAUUCCCCACAUGCGGGAAUCUCAACUGUAUAAUUUGUGGUAGUGGGGGACUGCGUUCGUGCUCUCCCCUCACUCUUGUGUCCAAAAGCAAAGAUCCAUGUGUCUGCUCUUCUCUCCGUCUGGCCUUUGAACUGGGACAAAAUGCAAUGGCGUGCUCACAGUCACUGGAUUCAGGCAUUAUGCGUGUUAGGCACCAUUAGCCAGAGUGCUGCAUGUGGAAAGGGGACCCCUGUCUCCCACACUGCCAACUCAUACUUACCUGGCAGGGGGGAUACCAUGAUCACGAAGGUGGUUCGCCCAGGGCGAGGCUCAGCCAUUGCACUGCGGUUGUGCUGACCCCUGUGAAUUCCCCACAUGCGGAAAUCUCAACUGCAUAAUUUGUGGUAGUGGGGGACUGCGUUCGCGCUCUCCCCUCACUCUUGUGUCCAAAAGCAAAUGUAGCCGGAGGGGCUACUCGCUUUUCCUUUCUCUUUCGCCCCCACUUGCGCUACUGCUUUCUCUCUCUCUCGCUCUCCUGUGCUUGCUCCCGCUCUGCGCUUACAGGAGCCCACCUGUAUAUUGAUUACAGGGCGGCGUGUACCUGUAUAAAGGGAAGCCGGGUUUUCUCGUUGGAUUAUUUCCUCCCGAGCUUCUGGUGCGAUACAGCGGUAGACGCUGGCUUGUUGGUUAAAUUACUGAGGCGAUCAGGUCAUGUGAUUGCUACAGCGCGGCUGUUUUUCUUUCCUUUGCUCCAGCCGUGGUGAGGAGACGCGUGAGUGCAUCCGCCGUGCAGUACAGUGCCUCCAAGUUCUGGGGGUUUGAUUGCUGCCGUGCCCUCUCGGGGACCAACCGCCUGCUUUGGUUACGUAGAGAGUCGGGCGCCUGCUCUGCUGCUGUCUUGUUUUGUUGAUCUUGUUUGUUUGAUUUUGUUUUGCCCUGUUUUGUUUUGUGUUGUUUUGGUUAUAUUACGGUUAAUCUGUCGGCGGCCCGGUUUUUCCUUGUAGCUUGCCUUGCCACGCCCUCUUGGACUAUCGUUCGCUCCAGCUUUUUGUGGCUGGCCGGGGCGAUUCUCGGCUGUAUAUUGGGCUGGUUAUACAAACUGGUACUGCCUCUCCCCUUUCUCCCAGCUGUGGGAAGUUGUGUGAGACCGAGCAGACCAAGGACAAUCGGACCCAGCACCAGCUGUGGGCUGGUUCGCCGAGCGAAAGUAUUUCUAACCAGUGCUCUGUGGUGUAUAUCUGGGUGUGUUGUAUCACAGACUUUGGUUUUCCUUUAAUUGUUUCUUUUUUUUGUUUUGUAGGUUGAGAGCCUGUUUGUGUCCCAUGUUUUUCACCUUUUAAUGUGUAUGUUCUGUAUUUUUAUUGUAGUGGACGGAGGAUCUACCAGCGGCUGUGGGACCGUAGGUGGUGGGUCGUUUUCCACGCUUCUUUUGUUGUACAGCACCAGGUGAAAAGACUGUAGUAGGUUUCCUUUGUGUGGUUGUGCUGACCCCUGUGAAUUCCCCACAUGCGGGAAUCUCAACUGCAUAAUUUGUGGUAGUGGGGGACUGCGUUCGUGCUCUCCCCUCACUCUUGUGUCCAAAAGCAAAGAUCCAUGUGUCUGCUCUUCUCUCCGUCUGGCCUUUGAACUGGGACAAAAUGCAAUGGCGUGCUCACCGUCACUGGAUUCAGGCAUUAUGCGUGCUAGGCACCAUCAGCCAGAGUGCUGCAUGUGGAAAGGGGACCCCUGUCUCCCACACUGCCAACUCAUACUUACCUGGCAGGGGGAUACCAUGAUCACGAAGGUGGUUCGCCCAGGGCGAGGCUCAGCCAUUGCACUGCGGUUGUGCUGACCCCUGUGAAUUCCCCACAUGCGGGAAUCUCAACUGCAUAAUUUGUGGUAGUGGGGGACUGCGUUCGCGCUCUCCCCUCACUCUUGUGUCCAAAAGCAAAGAUCCAUGUGUCUGCUCUUUUCUCCGUCUGGCCUUUGAACUGGGACAAAACGCAAUGGCGUGCUCACCGUCACUGGAUUCAGGCAUUAUGCGUGCUAGGCACCAUCAGCCAGAGUGCUGCAUGUGGAAAGGGGACCCCUGUCUCCCACACUGCCAACUCAUACUUACCUGGCAGGGGCGAUACCAUGAUCACGAAGGUGGUUCGCCCAGGGCGAGGCUCAGCCAUUGCACUGCGGUUGUGCUGACCCCUGUGAAUUCCCCACAUGCGGGAAUCUCAACUGCAUAAUUUGUGGUAGUGGGGGACUGCGUUCGCGCUCUCCCCUCACUCUUGUGUCCAAUAGCAAAUGUAGACGGAGGGGCUACUCGCUUUUCCUUUCUCUUUCGCCCCCACUUGCGCUACUGCUUUCUCUCUCUCUCGCUCUCCUGUGCUUGCUCCCGCUCCGCGCUUACAGGAGUCCACCUGUAUAUUGAUUACAGGGCGGCGUGUACCUGUAUAAAGGGAAGCCGGGUUUUCUCGUUGGAUUAUUUCCUCCCGAGCUUCUGGUGCGAUACAGCGGUAGACGCUGGCUUGUUGGUUAAAUUACUGAGGCGAUCAGGUCAUGUGAUUGCUACAGCGCGGCUGUUUUUCUUUCCUUUGAUCCAGCCGUGGUGAGGAGACGCGUGAGUGCAUCCGCCGUGCAGUACAGUGCCUCCAAGUUCUGGGGUAAGCCGCUUAUUUUAUAGCUGCUAGUUUUGUAAAUUAAAGAAGAUUAAGGUUAGUUUUGCCUUUUUCUUAUUUGUAGGGUUUGAUUGCUGCCGUGCCCUCUCGGGGACCAACCGCCUGCUUUGGUUACGUAGAGAGUCGGGCGCCUGCUCUGCUGCUGUCUUGUUUUGUUGAUCUUGUUUGUUUGAUUUUGUUUUGCCCUCUUUUGUUUUGUGUUGUUUUGGUUAUAUUACGGUUAAUCUGUCGGCGGCCCGGUUUUUCAUUGUAGCUUGCCUUGCCACGCCCUCUUGGACUAUCGUGCGCUCCAGCUUUUUGUGGCUGGCCGGGGCGAUUCUCGGCUGUAUAUUGGGCUGGUUAUACAAACUGGUACUGCCUCUCCCCUUUCUCCCAGCUGUGGGAAGUUGUGUGAGACCGAGCAGACCAAGGACAAUCGGACCCAGCACCAGCUGUGGGCUGGUUCGCCGAGCGAAAGUAUUUCUAACCAGUGCUCUGUGGUGUAUAUCUGGGUGUGUUGUAUCACAGACUUUGGUUUUCCUUUAAUUGUUUCUUUUUUUUGUUUUGUAGGUUGAGAGCCUGUUUGUGUCCCAUGUUUUUCACCUUUUAAUGUGUAUGUUCUGUAUUUUUAUUGUAGUGGACGGAGGAUCUACCAGCGGCUGUGGGACCGUAGGUGGUGGGUCGUUUUCCACGCUUCUUUUGUUGUACAGCACCAGGUGAAAAGACUGUAGUAGGUUUCCUUUGUGUGGUUGUGCUGACCCCUGUGAAUUCCCCACAUGCGGGAAUCUCAACUGCAUAAUUUGUGGUAGUGGGGGACUGCGUUCGCGCUCUCCCCUCACUCUUGUGUCCAAAAGCAAAGAUCCAUGUGUCUGCUCUUCUCUCCGUCUGGCCUUUGAACUGGGACAAAACGCAAUGGCGUGCUCACCGUCACUGGAUUCAGGCAUUAUGCGUGCUAGGCACCA